CGACAAGCUAGAUAAGGGCGUAUGGGGAAUGCCUAGGCUCUCAGAGGCGAUGAAGGACGCGAUAAGCUGCGAAAAGCUGUGGGGAGGUGCACAUAACUUGUGAUCCGCAGAUAUCCGAAUGGGGCAACCCACUAUAUUGAAGGUAUAGUAUCCCGUAAGGGAAGUGAACCCGGUGAACUGAAACAUCUAAGUAGCCGGAGGAAGAGAAAACAAAAGUGAUUCCGGGAGUAGUGGCGAGCGAAACCGGAUUAGCCCAAACCAGUGUUGUUUCGGCAAUACUGGGGUUGUAGGACCACGACAUUGAUUGCGUAAUGAAUUAGAACACUUUGGAAAGAGUGACCGAAGAGGGUGAUAGUCCCGUACAAGUAAAGAGCGUUAAUUAUAGUGGUAUCCUGAGUAGUGCGGGGCACGUGAAACCCUGUAUGAAUCAAGCGGGACCAUCCGUUAAGGCUAAAUACUCCUGAGAGACCGAUAGUGAACCAGUACCGUGAGGGAAAGGUGAAAAGAACCCUGAAUAAGGGAGUGAAAAAGAUCCUGAAACCAUACGCUUACAAGCGGUCGGAGCCCGUAAGGGGUGACGGCGUGCCUUUUGCAUAAUGAGCCUACGAGUUACUUUUACUAGCAAGGUUAAGCACUUCAGGUGCGGAUCCGUAGCGAAAGCGAGUCUGAAUAGGGCGACCAUAGUUAGUAGUA
rnacentral:rRNA from 1 species